CCUGAAGGAUGUGCAUACUCUCCAUUCCAAUGGCCACGGUCCUCGGGGCUUCUGGAUCAGUCGCUCCCUCUAGCCCGAGAAUAAAUCCAAGCACAAGAAACUAUUCACGAUGACAUGAAGAAAUUCCCCACCUCGCCUCCUCCGUCCCUCCUUCCUGUUACCCAAGAAACCCAAACCCUUACCCUUACCCUCAGAACAUCCGAUUCCGAUCCAUGGCUCUUCUCCAGGUCCCCCAACCAACCUUCUAUUCGUCUUCUCUUCUUGGGAGGAGCGCUCGAUGGGCUGCUCUUUCUUCGUCUUGGAGCGGAGAUCGGUGUUCGCCGGAUGCGAUUUCGAGGUCGUUGAGCGUUUGGAGGAAGCGGCGAUCGGGCCGGAAGCUCGGCAGCGUCUUGGCAAUGGCGGAUCCGUCGAUGUAUAAAAUGAAUCUUAAUGAGUAUAUGGUGACUCUGGACAAGCCGUUGGGCAUACGUUUCGCGUUCUCCGUGGAUGGCAAGAUCUUUGUACACUCGCUCAAGAGAGGGGGGAAUGCAGAAAAAUCAAGGAUAAUCAUGGUGGGAGACAUGCUAAAAAAGACAAGUAAUAAAUCAGGUGGUGGGUUCAUUGACAUCAAGGAUUUAAGCGAUGCAGAGAUGAUGCUUAAGGAUGCAGCAGGAUCAUUUAGUCUUGUACUUGAAAGACCAUUCUCUCCUUAUCCUAUUCAUCAAUUACAUUUAAAUGGCGAUUUUUAUAACUUAUUUAAUAGAGGCCGGGUUCCAUUUGCUACUUGGAAUGGAUCUUUGAUGGCAUCACAUCUGCAACCAUCUUCUGAGAGUAAUGGAAACAGUGGGUUUGCCAUUUUUUCUCCAAAGUUCUUAGCAUCACAUGGAUGGAUGCUUCUCUCAAGUGAACAAAGUGGAUCCACUGAUUCUCGAGUGCAGAGUAAUGGGAGGUUUCUUGCAAAACAUACGAGUGAGAUCAUAGGUAUUUUUUCUGAGGAAGAGAGUGAAGAUGUUGAAUGGGCUUAUGGUAGCUUUCCACUAGAGGAGUAUAUCAAGGCACUUGAACGAGCAAAAGGCGAGUUAUACUAUAAUCACUCACUUGGCAUGCAAUACAGCAAGAUUACUGAGCAAAUAUUUGUUGGUUCAUGCAUACAGACAGAGAAAGACGUGCAGAUGUUGUCAAAUGUUGUGGGGAUCACUGCUGUUCUAAAUUUCCAGAGUGAAAGUGAGCGUGCCAAUUGGGGAAUUAAUUCAGAAUCCAUCAACAACUCCUGUAGCGAAUGUAACAUUCUGAUGGUUAACUAUCCGAUAAGGGAGGUGGAUUCUGGAGACCUAAGAAAGAAGCUUCCAUUCUGUGUAGGGCUUCUAUUACGGCUUUUGAGGAAGAAUUUUCGAAUAUAUGUGACUUGUACAACUGGCUUUGAUAGAUCCCCAGCAUGUGUGAUUGCCUAUUUACACUGGAUUCAAGAUACUGCUCUCCAUGCUGCAUACAAUUUUGUGACUGGAUUGCACUCAUGCAGGCCUGAUAGAGCUGCAAUUGUCUGGGCAACUUGGGAUCUUAUUGCCAUGGCAGAAAAUGGAAAACAUGGUGGACCUCCAACACAUGCUGUCAACUUUGUGUGGAGUAAUGGGAGCCGGGAGGGUGAUGAGGUAUAUUUGGUUGGGGAUUUCAUAAGCAAUUGGAAAGAAUCUAUCAAGGCUGUCCACAAGGGUGGUUCAAAAUUGGAGGUUGAACUCCGACUCCGACAUGGGAAGUAUGUUUUUGAUUGAUUGAUUUAUUUCUUCUCUUUCCUGAUCCAUGGGAAGUUUUGUCUUGGAACAUAUAUUGUUCUCCUUGUAGGGUUUUCUCAAUUAUCAGUUAAAUUGUCAAAAGAUAUCACUAUAAGUUCAUUGUUAAUGGACAAUGGAGGCACUCGACAGCACUGCCUACUGAAACGGAUGAACAUGGCAACGUCAACAAUGUUAUUAGAGUUGGUGAUAUUGCUCGCAUUAGACCUGCUCCCACCCAGCUACAAAUAAAGGAUCCAACAGUUGUCAAGGUAAUUGAAAGACCAUUGACUGAGGACGAGCGGUUCUUAUUGGCCUUUGCAGCACGGCGUAUUGCAUUUUCUAUCUGCCCAAUCAAACUGGCUCCCAAAUAGAUCUUCUGGCUUCCGUUCUGACUACUUUUUCUUCCUUUGGGAUAAUUGUGCUGCAUGGUAUAGGAAAGUGCGGAGUUAAAAGAGGCCAGAUUGUUGUCACCAUAUGAUAUCUCGAGAAUAACACGUUAUGAAGGAUAUCACGGGAAUCCAAUCAUGUAAGAUGCCGGUAAUGAUAUUCCAUAAAUUCAUUGGAGGUAAACUAAUGACUGUAUCUAGUUAUGACUUGCGAACUUAUUUUAUUUCUUUAUUUUUGGUAAAGAUCUUUUUUAUUUCUUUUGAUGCUU